rnacentral:rRNA from 1 species
UACGUAGGGGGCAAGCGUUGUCCGGAUUUAUUGGGCGUAAAGAGCGUGUAGGCGGCCAUGCAGGUCCGUUGUGAAAACUCGAGGCUCAACCUCGAGACGCCGAUGGAAACCGCAUGGCUAGAGUCCGGAAGAGGAGAGUGGAAUUCCUGGUGUAGCGGUGAAAUGCGCAGAUAUCAGGAAGAACACCCGUGGCUAAGGCGGCUCUCUAGUACGGUACUGACGCUGAGACGCGAAAGCGUGGGGAGCGAACAGG